GUUUGGCACGCGCAAAAACGGACCUUGAAUUCAAGCUUCACUCGUUAAUUGGCCACAAACACCCCACGUCAUGCCUUGUGUUUUGCAGCACAGCAAUGGAGACUUCAGUUAAUGUACGGAAGUAAUGCUUGUUUGACAUGGGCCAUGUACAAACUUGUAAUUCCAACAGUGGACAUUGGCGCGUAUGUACAGUCUUUCAUCAAUGACGUCACCGCUGAGCCUGAAAGC